AUUGUGAUGAGGACAGUCUUUGAGCAGCCCCUUGAACCUCUCCCACGCUCAGUAUAGAGACUCCCUCGCUUUCUAUUUGAAGGCGACUAUCUCACUUCUGAUCUU
rfam:Nicotiana attenuata strain TT chromosome 1, whole genome shotgun sequence.